rnacentral:miRNA from 1 species
CAAGUCUUAUUUUAACACCUGU